rnacentral:rRNA from 1 species
AUUCCCUAGUAGCGGCGAGCGAGCGGGAAGAGCUCAAAUUUAUAAUCUGGCACCUUCGGUGUCCGAGUUGUAAUCUCUAGAAGUGUUUUCCGCGUUGGACCGCACACAAGUCUGUUGGAAUACAGCGGCAUAGUGGUGAAACCCCCGUAUAUGGUGCGGACGCCCAGCGCUUUGUGAUACACUUUCAAUGAGUCGAGUUGUUUGGGAAUGCAGCUCAAAUUGGGUGGUAAAUUCCAUCUAAAGCUAAAUAUUGGCGAGAGACCGAUAGCGAACAAGUACCGUGAGGGAAAGAUGAAAAGCACUUUGGAAAGAGAGUUAACAGUACGUGAAAUUGUUGGAAGGGAAACGCUUGAAGUCAGACUUGCUUGCCGGAGCUUGCUUCGGUUUGCAGGCCAGCAUCAGUUUUCCGGGGUGGAUAAUGACGGUUUGAAGGUAGCAGUCUCGGCUGUGUUAUAGCUUUCCGUUGGAUACAUCCUGGGGGACUGAGGAACGCAGCGUGCUUUUUGCGAAAGACUCGUCUUUUUCACGCUUAGGAUGCUGGUGGAAUGGCUUUAAACGACCCGUCUUGAAACACGGACCAC